UACGAGGGGGGCGAGCGUUGUUCGGAAUUAUUGGGCGUAAAGGGUGCGUAGGCGGUUUGGUAAGUCUUGUGUGAAAUCUACAGGCUCAACUUGUAGUCUGCACGAGAAACUGCCGGGCUUGAGUGUGGGAGAGGUGAGUGGAAUUCCUGGUGUAGCGGUGAAAUGCGUAGAGACCCGGAGGAACACCGGUGGCGAAGGCGGCUUCCUGGUCUGCGACUGACGCUGUGGCGCGAAAGCUAGGGGAGCAAACGGG
rnacentral:rRNA from 1 species